ensembl:lncRNA
UGAAAAGUCUCACUGGCAAAACACAAGAUCCCAAGAGUGCUGCUUGUAUAAAGUGCAUCAUUUUAUAUUUUACUGUAUAAAAUAUACAGUGAUCAACUAAAAGAGAAUAUAAAUCAACUUCAGGGUGAUAACAGUGACUCCACAGUCGGUUUUAUGCAUUACACAUUCAUGUUCACACUGUAAACAUUCUGUGCAGUGGUGUAUUUAUAGACGCUUCAUUUGUUCAUUGUUUCCCAGAAACGCAGCCUGAGCCCUAAAAGUGAAAGUAAAAGUACCAGAUAAAAAACAAGCUGUGGUUUUCAUUUUGUCCACCAACGAAUUCAGUCCAGAGCGUGUAACUCGGCUGAGAUCCCCCUUCAAAAUGACCCAAGCGAUAAUCAGAUUUUUUGUCAUGGUCCUUGGGAACACCAUGAAUUCCCACAAGACCUUCAUGGAGCGUCUGACAAUUUCACAAAAACUUCGUGAAGUGAAGUCGGUGAACAACAGUGAUGUCAUCAUUGCUUUUGUCCCAGUUGUGUCUCGAGCUGGAACUGACAUUGGAGCUGCAAUGGCCAAAAUUCCUCAGGAUAAGCCUGUCGUUUUUGUGGCGCUCCACCACACGUUUAAUCUAGAUGAAAUUGUUCCAGACAGCAGACUCUGUGUAAACACAGACAGAGUGUUUGCUGUAGAUUGUCUCUAUCAUGAAGACCAAGGUCUGCUGAAUUGCCGGCACAAUGACGAUGCGAUCAGAGCCGUGAAGAAGCACCUGAGAUGCGACGACCACACUGAGGACGACUCCAGCUGGGCAAGCCGUUUUUGGCUCAAACUACGUAAAUCCGAUGCAGAAACUGGGGGGGCGAUCCACCCUCAAUUUCCAAGCCAUGGUGCGUCACACGCCCCUGCUGACUUCCGAAGUUACAACAACGUAAAUAUGAUGCAGAAACUGGGGGGGCGAUCCACCCUCAAUUUCCAAGGCAUGGUGCGUCACAGAUGUAUCAGGAUAUUGCUUGUUCUGGGCAUUUUCCUGGCGAUUGGUGUGGGUAUUGGUGUGGGUUUUGGUGUGGGAAUCGGUGCGGGUUUUGGAGUGGGUAUUGUUGUGUUUUGUGUUGUAGUCAUGCUUGUGAUUGUUACCUGGGUUAAAAGCUUUCAAAACCGUUUACCAUGAAUGCAGACUUCAAUACACUGGAACAGACAUAGUAUUAGCAUCACAUAAAUAAAUAAAUAAAUAAAUAAAUAAAUAAAUAAAUAAAUAAACAUUUAA